UACGAAAGGUGCAAGCGUUGUUCGGAUUUACUGGGCGUAAAGAGAUCGUAGGUGGUUUGUUAAGUUGGAUGUGAAAUCCCGGGGCUCAACCUCGGAACUGCAUCCAAAACUGGCAGACUCGAGUUCGGGAGGGGUAAGCGGAAUUCCGUGUGUAGCAGUGAAAUGCGUAGAUAUACGGAGGAACACCUGAGGCGAAGGCGGCUUACUGGACCGAUACUGACACUGAGGAUCGAAAGCGUGGGUAGCAAACAGGAUUAGAUACCCCAGUAGUCC
rnacentral:rRNA from 1 species